AUUGAACGCUGGCGGCAGGCCUAACACAUGCAAGUCGAACGAGUGGCGGACGGGUGAGUAAUGUCUGGGACACUGCCUGAGGGCGGGGGAUAACUACUGGAAACGGUAGCUAAUACCGCAUACCCUCGGAUGUGCCCAGAUGGGUUGCGAUAGUAGGGGGGGUAAAGGCUCACCUAGGCGACGAGCCCUAGCUGGUCUGAGAGGAUGACCAGCCACACUGGAACUGAGACACGGUCCAGACUCCUACGGGAGGCAGCAGGGGGGAAUAUUGCACAAUGGGCGCAAGCCUGAUGCAGCCAUGCCGCGUGUAUGAAGAAGGCCUUCGGGUUGUAAAGUACUUUCAGCGGGGAGGCGUUACCCGCAGAAGAAGCACCGGCUAACUCCGUGCCAGCCGCCGCGGUAAUAC
rnacentral:rRNA from 1 species